rnacentral:misc_RNA from 1 species
AAGUCGUAACAAGGUUUCCGUAGGUGAACCUGCGGAAGGAUCAUUACAAAUCCAUUUUUUUUUUCUUUUAAGGUGCCAGCUGAGCGGAUGGACGUUAAGGUUUCACAACCUUGUCCUUCUGCUCGCUGCCCUUAAGGGAUUAAAAAAAAAAACCAAAUACCUCAAAACACCCUUUGUGCACUGUUGAAACGGCGUCAACGAGGGAAAACAACCUUUCCCCCCGUAGGCGUCUACCCAUUUCAAACGCUUUAUUUUUGUUUUGCCUAAAGGUUUUGAAAACCCAAGUGAUUUAAAUAAAUCUAAAAUACAACUUUUAGCAACGGAUCUCUUGGCUCUC